ACAUUGGUGGCUCGGUAGUAGAGUUCUUGCUUUCCAUUCAGGAGACCCAGGUUCAAUUUCUGACCAAUGCA
rnacentral:tRNA from 1 species